GUAGGUGGCAAGCGUUGUCCGGAAUUAUUGGGCGUAAAGCGCGCGCAGGCGGUCCUUUAAGUCUGAUGUGAAAGCCCACGGCUCAACCGUGGAGGGUCAUUGGAAACUGGGGGACUUGAGUGCAGAAGAGAAGAGUGGAAUUCCACGUGUAGCGGUGAAAUGCGUAGAGAUGUGGAGGAACACCGGUGGCGAAGGCGACUCUUUGGUCUGUAACUGACGCUGAGGCGCGAAAGCGUGGGGAGCAAACAGGAUUAGAUACCCUGGUAGUCCACGCCGUAAACGAUGAGUGCUAAGUGUUAGAGGGUUUCCGCCCUUUAGUGCUGCAGCAAACGCAUUAAGCACUCCGCCUGGGAGUACGGCCGCAAGGCUG
rnacentral:rRNA from 1 species